rnacentral:rRNA from 1 species
UACGUAGGGGGCAAGCGUUGUCCGGAUUUAUUGGGCGUAAAGAGCGUGUAGGCGGCCAUACAGGUCAGCUGUGAAAACUCGAGGCUCAACCUCGAGACGUCGGUUGAAACCGUAUGGCUAGAGUCCGGAAGAGGAGAGUGGAAUUCCCGGUGUAGCGGUGAAAUGCGCAGAUAUCAGGAAGAACACCUAUGGCGAAGGCGCCUUGCUGGCCAAUUUCUGACGCUGAGGCGCGAAAGCGUGGGGAGCAAACAGG